UUCGGGAACUGUGAGACAGGUGCUGCAUGGCUGUCGUCAGCUCGUGUUGUGAAAUGUUGGGUUAAGUCCCGCAACGAGCGCAACCCUUAUCCUUUGUUGCCAGCGGUCCGGCCGGGAACUCAAAGGAGACUGCCAGUGAUAAACUGGAGGAAGGUGGGGAUGACGUCAAGUCAUCAUGGCCCUUACGACCAGGGCUACACACGUGCUACAAUGGCGCAUACAAAGAGAAGCGACCUCGCGAGAGCAAGCGGACCUCAUAAAGUGCGUCGUAGUCCGGAUUGGAGUCUGCAACUCGACUCCAUGAAGUCGGAAUCGCUAGUAAUCGUGGAUCAGAAUGCCACGGUGAAUACGUUCCCGGGCCUUGUACACACCGCCCGUCACACCAUGGGAGUGGGUUGCAAAAGAAGUAGGUAGCUUAACCUUCGGGAGGGCGCUUACCACUUUGUGAUUCAUGACUGGGGUGAAGUCGUAACAAGGUAACCGUAGGGGAACCUGCGGUUGGAUCAC
rnacentral:rRNA from 2 species